rnacentral:rRNA from 1 species
GAUUGCCCGCCGGCGCCCCGCGCCCGUCCCUCCGCCCCCGCCCGUGCACCAGGCGCGAAACCUCCGCAAUACGCGAAAGCGUGACGGGGCCACCCCGAGUGCCGUCCGCUGAGGACGGCUUUUCCCCAGUGUAGCCAGCUGGGGGAAUAAGGGGAGGGCAAGUCGGGUGUCAGCCGCCGCGGUAAUACCCGCUCCCCGAGUGGUGGGGACGCUUAUUGAGCCUAAAGCAUCCGUAGCCGGCUGGAUAAGUCCCCUGUUAAAUCCAGCGAUUCAAUCGUUGGACUGCGGGGGAUACUGUCCAGCUAGGGGGCGGGAGAGGCCGACGGUAUUCCCGGGGUAGGGGUGAAAUCUUAUAAUCCCGGGAGGACCACCAGUGGCGAAGGCUGUCGGCUAGAACGCGCCCGACGGUGAGGGAUGAAAGCUGGGGGAGCGAACCGGAUUAGAUACCCGGAAUCACUAGU